rnacentral:rRNA from 1 species
UACAGAGGUCCCAAGCGUUGUUCGGAUUCAUUGGGCGUAAAGGGCGCGUAGGCGGGUGCUCAAGUCCGGGGUGAAAUCCUCCAGCUCAACUGGAGAACUGCCUCGGAUACUGGGUGCCUCGAGGGUGGUAGGGGUAUGCGGAACUAUCGGUGGAGCGGUGAAAUGCGUUGAUAUCGAUAGGAACUCCGGUGGCGAAGGCGGCAUACUGGACCACAUCUGACGCUGAGGCGCGAAAGCCAGGGGAGCAAACGGG